UUGCGGUUAAAAAGCUCGUAGUUGGAUUUCUGUUGAGGGCGACCGGUGUACACCUCGUGUAUUAUUUGGUUCGGUCUCGGCAUCCUCUUGGGGAACGUUUCUGGACUUUAUUGGACAGGGCGAGAUUCAAGACUUUUACUUUGAGGAAAUUAGAGUGUUCACGGCAGGCAAGCGCUUUGAAUACAUUAGCAUGGAAUAAUAAUAUAGGACCUUCGUUCUAUUUUGUUGGUUUCUAGAACUUAGGUAAUGAUUAAUAGGGACAAUUGGGGGCAUUCGUAUUAACGCGUCAGAGGUGGAAUUCUUGGAUUGCGUUACGACGAACUACUGCGAAAGCAUUUGCCAAAGAUGUUUUCAUUGAUCAAGAACGAAAGUAUGGGGAUCGAAGACGCUUAGAUACCGUCGUAGUCUAUACCAUAAACUAUGCCAACUAGAGAUUGGUGGGGUUCUCCUAUUUGGCUCCAUCAGCAUCUUAUGAGAAAUCAAAGUCUUUGGGUUCCGGGGGGAGUAUGGUCGCAAGGCUGAAACUUAAAGGAAUUGACGGAAGGGCACCACCAGGAGUGGAGCCUGCGGCUUAAUUUGGCUCAACACGGGAAAACUUACCAGGUCCAGGCAUAGUAAGGAUUGACAGAUUGAUAGCUCUUUCUUGAUUCUAUGGGUGGUGGUGCGUGG
rnacentral:rRNA from 1 species